AUGCAGCCUGUUGUACAAAAGCAGCGAGCGAAACUUCCCCGCUCCACAACCUGGACGAAUGAGGACCGAUUUCCCAGCUCAAGUCUGACUCUGCAGGGCCCUCUGCCCAGUGGAGUGGGAGGCCCUGCAGGGGCCCUGGGCCUCAUCCAGGUCACCCCCAGCACUGGGCGUCGACACUCCCCAGGGAACUGCCUCCUCCGUCUCCUCUUGCUUCUUCCUCUCAUUGCUCAAGUUCAAGAGCAUGUCCAAAGGCUUCUGGAGCCAAGUUCUUCCUUUAAUGAUGUUUGGACGGCCUCGGUUGGGCCCUCGGCCAUGGCAUCCCCGAGCCCUCCCUGGGUGGCUGUGGGCUCGUCCUCCCGUCUGAGACCCCUGCUGCCCCGGGAACGGCCGAGUCAGCCUCCUCUGGUUCUGCAGUCGGAGCCGCUCCCGUAAAUGCACUGCCGCUUCUUCUGCCACCCACGUCGUGUGGCCAAAACGCGUCAUGUGGAAAGAAUGCACAGUUGGCCUCUGUAUCCGCAGAAUCUGAAUAGAAAAUAUUAAAAAAAAAAAAGACCAUGUCUGUUUUACACAUGUAUGGACAUUUUUCCUUGUCAUUAUUUUCUAAUCAAUAUGGUCUAACCAGUGUUGACACAGCAUUUCCGUGGUACCAGGUGCUACAAGUCACCCAGAGACGUUUCAAGUGUACGGGUGAUUGCGUUGGGUUUUAUGAAAUUCUGCACCAUUUUACAUAAGGCUCUGGACCCGUGGGGACUCCUGAAACGUGGCCCUGCCCAUGCCCAGUGACACUGGGCUUCAAUAGAGCCCGCGGGUCCCCACAAUGCUCUGGGUCAGCGAUUCGAGGCAGAUGCUGUGUUAGGAGGAAGUCUGUGUGGUCCAGGGGAAGUGGCCUGGCGUUUGCUGUGGGUGGGAAAGGGCCAAUCCCCAGGGCCAGUGUCAAGGCCACAGAGCUCGUCUCUCUUCCGGGAAGCUGGGCCCGGUGUCUGCCCGUGCAGAGCUCAACACCAUGCACACUCAGGUCUGCAAAGGAGGCAGGGAAGCGGCCCAGCUCUGGGGCCAGGCAAGAGUGCCCCUCCCAUGGCUGCAGAGCCAGCUGCUUCCUUCCAGGUCCCUGUCCAGUGGACUCACCAGAGCUGGGUGUCCAUUUGGCUCAGCCCCUUUGCUUGGGCUGUGUUUCUCCCACUCCCAGGUCUUCUUCCUUAGGCAGCCAUCUGUGGGGCGGGGGGCGGGGGGGGGGGGACUGGAUGGGAGCCCAGGGCCGUUCCUGCUUCUGCUCCUUCUUGGACAGUGGUGAAAUUGCUCUCCCACCAAGCCUGCAGCUUUCUGGGCAGAGAGGAGGCUCCCUAAUCUGGUGCAGACUCGAGCCGGCCCGAGCGAGCCGUGGGGCAGCCACAGGAAGCGCAGGUGCCUGUGCCUGAUGGGGAAGAGACGCGGA
rnacentral:lncRNA from 1 species